rfam:Canis lupus familiaris chromosome 6, whole genome shotgun sequence.
GCCUGGCUGGCUCAGUCGGUAGAGCACACGACUCUUGAAUUUGGAGUCGUGAGUUUGAGCCCCACGUUGGGCA